UCACUCACUCUUCUAUUGUCACGCCUUAUUGUUAUCAAGAGUACGAUAUCUCUUAGAAAGUUCCUGAUUUUCCCCUUAAUUUCAAUAUUUCCAGCAUGCCAUUGGGGCAGUGUUGGAAAAACUGAAGAUGACUAACUGGUCUUGACCUGCAACAGAAGCAGUUUGGCGGUUUUCGACGAACAAGAAGACUAGAAGACAAAGAAAUUGGAAAGCAGAGGCCUUUUUCCGCAAAGAACAACCAAAGAUUCAGAUGUAAGCUGGAAAACAGGAGGAAGGUCCUCACAACGAUUACCUGGCCGGAGAAGAAACGGAAAGUUAUUCCUCUCUUGGGGAAAGAGUUAACAUUUCUCAAAUUGGAAAACCAAAUAAUAUGGAUUCAUCUACAUUGAUGAGUUUAAGUAAACAUCCCAUACUCACUGCCAUUUAUUCCCUUAUUGCUUCUAAUUAUUUAUGCAUUUUGAAAAUUCAGUUUUUAUUAAUGUGAACAUUCCAAAUAUCAGUUGUUUAUCAGCAAACUGUUGAA